rnacentral:precursor_RNA from 1 species
UGAGUAUUACAUCAGGUACUGAUUGUUUAUAAGACGUCCGUGCCUUUUGUGAUUCUCUUGAGGUGACGGCCAUUACGACUAACACUGCAUGGUUUAAGGCUACAUUAACAUUAAUUACUAGAUGACUACUUAUCAACGGGCUCUUCUUACGCAGUAUUUAUUCAUAAGUCUGACACUUUUGCGUAAUGUAUAGCCCUCUGCAUGGAGCUAACAACGGUAUGGUAUAUGUAAUGUCACAGGGGUCGAAAUAUACUUGAACGCCCGACCAUUCCUUUAGAUUCGUGGGAAGGGUAGCUCUUAAUUUUCGCCAUUUCUCCUUUUCUGUUAAAAGUAAUGGAAGAAAGUAUAAUUUUAUAUAAUCCCUAAUUUCUGGUAAUGCUUGCUCAAUGCUCAUCCACAGUCACCAUAUGAUAUUGAAUGGCAAUUAUAGCACUCUUUAUAAAAAUUCCCUAAAAAUGGCCUCUGGGCAUGGCCGGAGCAGAGUUUGAACUUAUAAUCUCAGCUGGCAAAAGUGAG